rnacentral:rRNA from 1 species
GACGAACGCUGGCGGCGUGCUUAACACAUGCAAGUCGAACGAAGUGGCGAACGGGUUAGCAACGCGUAAUCAACCUGCCCUUCAGAGGGGGACAACAGUUGGAAACGAUUGCUAAUACCGCAUACUGACGGGGGGGAUUGCGUCUGAUAAGCUAGUUGGAGGGGUAACGGGCCAACAAGGCGAUGAUCAGUAGCCGGGCUGAGAGGAUGAACGGCCACAAUGGGAAUGAGACACGGCCCAGACUCCUACUGGAGGCAGCAGUGGGGAAUCUUCCGCAAUUGACGAAAGUCUGACGGAACAACGCCGCGUGAGUGAUGACGGCCUUCGGGUUGGAAAGCUCUGUUAAUCGGGACGCGGUACCGGAAUAGAAAGCCACGGCUAACUACGUGCCAGCAGCCGCGGUAAUUC